rnacentral:rRNA from 1 species
AGAGUUUGAUCAUGGCUCAGAUUGAACGCUGGCGGCAUGCCUUACACAUGCAAGUCGAACGGUAACAGGUCUUCGGACGCUGACGAGUGGCGAACGGGUGAGUAAUACAUCGGAACGUGCCCAGUCGUGGGGGAUAACUACUCGAAAGAGUAGCUAAUACCGCAUACGAUCUGAGGAUGAAAGCGGGGGACCUUCGGGCCUCGCGCGAUUGGAGCGGCCGAUGGCAGAUUAGGUAGUUGGUGGGAUAAAAGCUUACCAAGCCGACGAUCUGUAGCUGGUCUGAGAGGACGACCAGCCACACUGGGACUGAGACACGGCCCAGACUCCUACGGGAGGCAGCAGUGGGGAAUUUUGGACAAUGGGCGAAAGCCUGAUCCAGCAAUGGCCGCGUGCAGGAUGAAGGCCUUCGGGUUGUAAACUGCUUUUGUACGGAACGAAAAAGCUCCUUCUAAUACAGGGGGCCCAUGACGGUACCGUAAGAAUAAGCACCGGCUAACUACGUGCCAGCAGCCGCGGUAAUACGUAGGGUGCGAGCGUUAAUCGGAAUUACUGGGCGUAAAGCGUGCGCAGGCGGUUAUGUAAGACAGAUGUGAAAUCCCCGGGCUCAACCUGGGAACUGCAUUUGUGACUGCAUGGCUAGAGUACGGUAGAGGGGGAUGGAAUUCCGCGUGUAGCAGUGAAAUGCGUAGAUAUGCGGAGGAACACCGAUGGCGAAGGCAAUCCCCUGGACCUGUACUGACGCUCAUGCACG